rnacentral:rRNA from 1 species
CGGCGGACGGGUGAGUAACGCGUGGGUAACCUACCCCGUACACACGGAUAACAUACCGAAAGGUAUGCUAAUACGGGAUAAUAUAUUUGAGAGGCAUCUCUUGAAUAUCAAAGGUGAGCCAGUACAGGAUGGACCCGCGUCUGAUUAGCUAGUUGGUAAGGUAACGGCUUACCAAGGCGACGAUCAGUAGCCGACCUGAGAGGGUGAUCGGCCACAUUGGGACUGAGACACGGCCCAA